UACGAAGGGGGCUAGCGUUGCUCGGAAUCACUGGGCGUAAAGCGCACGUAGGCGGAUUGCUAAGUCAGGGGUGAAAUCCUGGAGCUCAACUCCAGAACUGCCUUUGAUACUGGCGACCUUGAGUCCGGGAGAGGUGAGUGGAACUGCGAGUGUAGAGGUGAAAUUCGUAGAUAUUCGCAAGAACACCAGUAGCGAAGGCGGCUCGCUGGGCCAUUCCUGACCGCUGAGACGCGAAAGCUAGGGGGAGCGAACAGG
rnacentral:rRNA from 1 species